UUUUUAACUAUUUAUUGAAUUUAUUUCAUUUCCAUGCUAUUUUUCUGAAUAUCAGUAAUCGCAAAUUAUACCAAUGAAGACGAAGAUGGUAGCAAUGCAUUUCGUAUACUGGCCUCGCCGAUGGUAAUGCAAUAGAAGCGAGAUGUAUUUAUCAGGAAAGAGCCCUGAAGAUGAAUGAAAUGUAAUUCAAAACGUUGGCUAAAAACAAAUAGUUUUCUGUAACAAUUGACCAAUCUUCACAUAAAAUACCACUUAUGAUAUUUUUUAAGAUUGUAAAGUUUUUUAAGGCAUAUAUAAACAAUUUUUAGUUUUAAGUAUAAUAGGCGGUUCGAAAGAAAGAGAACUAUUAAAAAUUA